AGCGAACGCUGGCGGCAGGCCUAACACAUGCAAGUCGAACGAAGUCUUCGGACUUAGUGGCGGACGGGUGAGUAACACGUGGGAACGUGCCUUUAGGUUCGGAAUAACUCAGGGAAACUUGUGCUAAUACCGAAUGUGCCCCUCGGGGGAAAGAUUUAUCGCCUUUAGAGCGGCCCGCGGCUGAUUAGCUAGUUGGUGAGGUAAAGGCUCACCAAGGCGACGAUCGGUAGCUGGUCUGAGAGGAUGAUCAGCCACAUUGGGACUGAGACACGGCCCAAACUCCUACGGGAGGCAGCAGUGGGGAAUCUUGCGCAAUGGGCGAAAGCCUGACGCAGCCAUGCCGCGUGAAUGAUGAAGGUCUUAGGAUUGUAAAAUUCUUUCACCGGGGACGAUAAUGACGGUACCCGGAGAAGAAGCCCCGGCUAACUUCUUGCCAGCCGCCGCAGUAA
rnacentral:rRNA from 1 species